ensembl:lncRNA
GUUACACAAAGCCCCCAAGGGAACCUCUGCGUUUCUGUCUGUUCACCCAUCCCCUUAGGCCAUGUGCAGGCACAGUGACACGCACACCCCUCACCCCACAGCUUUUGAAGGCUUGGGUGCAGCCAGCGCCUGAGCUCUGAGGACCCAGCUCUUUCAGACAGGCUCCUUCUUAUCUGUGAUGUGGCCCUUGACAAGCCAUUUGCCUCUCAGGGUUUCCUAGUCUCUCCAUCUGCAGAGUGGGGUCUAUCUCUCAUCUAAUGCCUUGGUCUGUCAGCCUACAGCACCUACAUGCCUUUCAACCUGGGGCUGGUAUCACAAGGCGCUUGUGCCCUGGGACUUCCCAAAGUCAAGAUUCAAUAAAUGGCUGACCUAGAACAAAAUGGGGGCAGAAACAGGCCUGGAUGGGCUCUGGGACCUCAGAAAGGCACUCCCCUUCCUGCCUAUUUUGAGACCCAACACUCCCGCUUCCCCCAAAGGAGGACUGAAAGGAAGACUGGAAGGUCACCUUCUCUUAUUUAAAAGAGGACCCAGCUUUCUGGUUGUCCUUCUUCCAUUGAGAUUUUGUUUCAAGUGCCCCAUCUCGGCUUCCGUGGGUGGCUAAGCCUAUAAUGGCUCCCUGCAUUCUUCUCCUUUACUCUCAUAAGCUUGGGUCAUUUUCCCACUUCUGCAGUGGAUGGGCACUGUCACUGCUUCUAACUUUCAGAUAGAUUUAUGAAAAGGUCUGUAAACUCUGCUCAUCUCCUCUCUCUUGUUCAGUGUCUCUCUCUAGAAAUGCCUUUCUUUUCCUUUUGAAAUUCAGUCUCUGUCUUCCUUUUUCUCUUUCUCUGUCUCUCCUGUGGAUGGAUGGAUGCCAUUGAAUGCACAUGGAUAUUGUUAGCUUAGGGAUAGGUUUUAGGGAUAGGUUAGAGUGAGAUCAAGUGUUUAGGUUGGAGUUGGUGCUAGGGGAUGGGGCAAGGGUGGUGUGUUUUUUCUUGGAGACUUGAGUGCUGUUUGUCCUUAGUCUAUUUUACAUAGGAACCGCUUAUCAGAUACAUCACUUGCAACUCGUCUCUUAUGUUCAGUUUACCAUCUUCUUGAUUUGUGAAAGCGUGAUUCCCUGGUGGCUCAGUUGGUAAAGCGUCUGCCCGCAAUGUGGGACCCUGGUUUGAUCCCUGGGAUGGGAACAUCCUCUGGAGAAGGAAAUGGCAGACCACUCCAGUACUCUGGCCUAGAAAAUUCCAUGGAUGGAGGAGCCAGGUGGGCUACAGUCCAUGGAGUCACAAAGAGUCGGACACGACUGAGCCACUUCACUUUACUUGUGAUUCACACACAGAUUUGUAGUUUCAACACCACUAAAGAUUAUGUGCGGCUGCAGGAGGGCCGAGAGGAACUACUCCACGUUCAAGGUCAGGAGGGCGGCCCUGAUGAGAUACCCCUCGUCCAAGGUAAGGAGCAGUUGCUGCGCUUUGGUGGAGCAGCUGUGAAUAGAUACACCAUGACCAAGGUAAGAGAAACCCAAGAAAGACAGUUGGUGUUGUGAGACGGCAUCAGAGGGCAGACUCAUUGAGACCAUAAUCACAGACAACUAGCCAAUCUGAUCACAUGGACCACAACCUUGUCUAACUCAAUGAAAAUAGGCCAUGCCAUGAGACCCAAGGCAGACCGGUCAUGUUGGAAAGGGCUGACAGAAUGUGGUCCACUGGAGAAGGGAAUGGCAAACCACUUCAGUAUUCUUGCCUUGAGUACCCCAUGAACAGUAUGAAAGGGCAAAAUGAGAGGAUACUGAAAGAGGAACUGCCAGGUCGGUUAGUGCCCAGUAAGCUAACUGGGAAAUCAGUAGUGAAAUAACUCCAGAAAGACUGAAGGGUGGAGCCAAAGCAAACGCAAUACCCAGUUGUGGAUGUGACUCAUGAAACAAGCCAAGUCCGACGCUGUAAAGAGCAAUAUUGCAUUGCAACCUGGAAUGCUAGGUUCAGGAAUCAAGGCAAAGUGAAAGUGGUCAAACAGGGGAUGGCAAGAGUGAACACUGACAUUCUAGGAAUCAGCGAACUAAAAUGGACUGGGAUGGGUGAAUUUAGCUCAGAUGACCAUGAUAUCUCCUACUGUGGGCAGGAAUUCCUUGGAAGAAAUGAAGUAGUCGUCAUGGUCAACAAAAGAAUCUGAAAUGCAGUACUUGGAUGCCCUCUCAAGAACGACAGAAUAAUCUCUGUUCCUUUCCAAGGCAGACCACUCAAUAUCAGGUAAUCCAAGCCUAUGCCCCAACCAGUAAUGCUGAAUAAGUUGACGUUGAACGGUUCUAUGAAGACUUUCAAGACCUUUUCGAACUAACACCCAAGAAAGUUGUCCUUUUCAUUCUAGGGGACUGGAAUGCAAACGUAGGAAGUCAAGAAACACCUGGAGUAAUAGGCAAAUUUGGCCUUGGAGUACGGAAUGAAGCAGGGCAAAUAAUAGAAUUUUGCCAAGAGAGCGCACUGGUCAUAGCAAACAGCCUCUUCCCACAACACAAGAGAAGACUCUACACGUGGACAUCAUCAGAUGGUCAACACUGAAAUCAGACAGAUAACAUUCUGUGCAGCCAAAGGUGCAGCCACACACUAUUCAUGGAUUGUGCAGAAAUAAGACGGGAGCUGACCGGCUCAGACCAUGAAAUUCUUAUUGCUAAAAUUAGACUUAAAUUGAAGAAAGUAGGAAAAACCACUAGACAAUUCAGGUAUGACCUAAAACAAAUCCCUGUUGAUUGUGAGAAAUAGAUUUAAUGGAUCAGAUCUGAUAGAGUGCCUGAUGAACUAUGGACAGAGGUUCGUGACAUUGUACAGGAACAGGGAUCAAGAGAGUCAACAAGAAAAAGAAAGGCGAAAAGGAAAAUGGCUGUCUGAGGAGGCCUUACAAAUAGCUGUGAAGAGAAGAGAAAAGCAAAGGAGAAAGGAAAGAUGUAAGCCUCUGAACGCAUCAUUCCAAAGAAUAGCAAGGAGAGAUAAGAAAGCCGUCAGGAGCGAACAAUGCAAAGAAAUAGAGGAAAACAACAGAGUGGAAAAGACUAGAGAUCUCGUCAAGAAAAUAACAGAUACCAAGGGAUCAUUUCAUGCAAAGAUGGGCUCGAUAAAGAUAGAAAUGGCAUGGACCUAAAAGAAUCAGAGGAUAUUAAAAGAUGUGGCAAGAAUUCGCAGAAGAACUGGACCAGAAAGAUCUUCCCGACCCAGAUAAUCACGAUGGUGUGAUCACUCACCUAGUAUCAGACAGCCUGGAAUAUGAAGUUAAGUGGGCCUAAGCAUCACUAUGAAGAAACAGGUGGAGGUGAUGGAUUUCAAGUUGAGCUCUUUCAAAUCCUGAAAGAUGAUGCUGUGAAAGUGCUGCACUCGAUAUGCCAGCAAAUUUGGAAAACUCAGCAGUGGCCACAGGACUGGAAAAGGUCAGUUUUCAUUCCAAGGCCAAAGAAAGCUCAAACUAUGGCACAGUCGCACUCAUCUCUCAUGCCAGUAAAGUCAUGCUCAAAAUGCUUCAAGCGAGGCUUCAGCAAUACAUGAACCGUGAACUUCCAGAUAUUCAAGCUAGUUUUAGAAAAGGCAGAGGAACUAGAGAUCAAAUUGCCAACAUCUGCUGCAUCCUCGGAAAAGCAAGAGAGUUCUAGAAAAACAUCUAUUUCUGCUUUAUUGACUAUGCUAAAUCCUUUGACUAUGUGGAUCACGAUAAAGUGUUGGCAAAUUUUCAAGAGAUGGGAAUACUAGACCACCUGACCUGCCUCUUGAGAAACCUAUAUGCAGGUCACAAAGCAAAUGUUGGAACUUGACAUUUAACAACAGAUUGGUUACAACUAGGGAAAGGAGUACGUCAGGGUUGUAUAUUGUUCCCUGCUUCUAUAACUUAUAUGGAGAGAACAUCAUGAGAAAGGCUGGGCUGGAAGAAGCACAACCUGGAAUCAAGAUUGCCGGGAGAACUAUCAAUAACCUCAUAUAUGCAGAUGAAAACACCCUUCUGGCAGAAAGUGAAGAGGACUUAAAGCGCCUCUUGAUGAAAGUGAAAGAAGAGAGUGAAAACGUUGGCUUCAAGCUCAACAUUCAGAAAACGAAGAUCAUGGCCUCUAUCCCAUCACGUCAUAGCAAAUAGAUGGGGCAUUGUGGAAACAGUGUCAGAAGUUGUGGUGUUGGAGAAAACUCUUGAGAGUCCCUUGGACCGCAAGGAGUUCCAACCAGUCCAUUCUGAAGGAGGGCAGCCCUAGGAUUAUUUUGGAAGGAAUGAUGCUAAAGCUGAAACUCCAGUACUUUGGUCACCUCAUGGGAAGAGUUAACUCAUUGGAAAAGACUCUGAUGCUGAGAGGGAUUGGGGGCAGGAGGAGAAGGGGACGACAGAGGAUGAGAUGGCUGGAUGGCAUCACUGACUCAAUGGACAUGAGUCUGAGUGGACUUCGGGAGAUGGUGAUGGACUGGGAGGCCUGGUGUGCUGCUAUUCAUGGGGUCUCAGAGAGUUGGGCACGACUGAGCGACUGAACUGAACUGAAUAUGUAAAGGAAGAGCGGAGGCCCCUUGGGGCUAUUUUGAACCCAUUGGGAAAGUAAGUUGGAUCCCUGCCUCACAAAACACCACCAUAGCAAUUAAGACACAUACUAAGAAGUAACAAUUGAAAGGAAAACUUGACAAAUUUUAUAAUAAUUUCUGAUGAGUGAAUACCUUACUUUAUAAUUGAAGUAUCAUGCAUUUUUAAAAAUUUGCUAGUUUAAGGGGGACAGUAACGUGAUUGAGGGAUUCCGUGUCUCAGGCCCUUCCUUGGAAAAAAAAAUGAUCACUCCAUUCGAGGGGCCCUGGACCAUGUCCUCUACUCAGAACAGGCAAGAAUCCUAAAAACACAGAGCAGCAUGUGGUGGUGCUAAGAACAAAGUGCUGUGUAGAGACGUUGUGCAAGCUUGUCCCAGGAUACGGAGCACAAGGACACAGUGACCUGAUUCUCAGCCCUGCUCUUGGGGCAUCGAACAGUCUCCACCCUUGACAUAUGGUGAGGCCCUCACAGGUGUCCUGGAGAGUAUGGGCACACGACCUGAAUCUGCCCAAUCUGUGUGUUCUAUCCUCCCUGGCUACCGUGAUGGGCUCAGGAUUUGGGCAGUGACCAAUCAGGGCCCAGGGCUGGGACUCAGGCAACAGUCAAGGGGAAGAGGAGCUCUGGUUCUGCUGGGAGGGUCAGGGCUUCUGAGGUCAGUCUACAGCAGUGGGAGGAGCAUGAGUUCAGCCUGGGGCAAUUGGUGACCUUUCUGCUCCCAUCAGGGCAGAGGCUCUGGCAGGCCUCUGAGAAUGAGGGCCCUGCUGAGCUUAGGUUUUGAGAGCGCUGACUCCUGCUCUGGUCCCGAAACUCCACCUGAAACUGGAGGAAAACCAUCUGCCUGGGAGUCCUCCUGCUUAUCUGUGAACUUGUGUAAAAACGCUGGUUUUCCUGUCCAGCAGGCUAAGUGGAGACCCUGCAAAAGCAAGUGUGUGGGUUUUGGCUGGCUUCAGGAAAGAAACACCAGAUGGCACUGGGAGACUGCAGUCUAAUCUGGAUUCAGGGAUAUCUCUUGAAAGUGAAGGGACAAGUCCUUCUGUCAUUUCCGAGUGCUUGUGAACCCAUAGACUAUAGGAUCCAUGGAAUACUCCAGGCAAAAAUACUGGAGUGGGCAGCCUUUCGCUUCUCCAAGGGAUCUUCCAAACCCAGGGGUCGAACCCAGGUCUCUGCAUGCAGGCAGAUUCUUUACCAGCUGAGCCACAGAGAGGCCAAAAUCUAUUGGACUGGGUAGCCUGGCUUUUCUGCAGCUGACCAGGAUUUCCUGACCCAGGAAUCAAACUGGGCUCUCCUGCAGUGCAGAAGGAUACUUCACCAGCUGAGGUGUCAGGAAGCCCAGUAUCUCUUAAGACCAGCUACUAAUUGUAGGAUUACCCUAAAGAGUCAUCACAGGUUUAAGGUAGCAACCUGCUAAUGUAGCAAUCGAUGUCUUUAUUCUAGAAGACAAAACUGGGGCUCUAGGAAGGGAGUAACUCAGCUAUAGCAAGGAAGUGUGUACCCAGACAAACUCCGAAGUUCCUGCUGUUAGAACUCAGGAAGCCACAUGGUGAAGCUUGUCCGUGUGACAGGGGCUAACGCACCCAGCCCACACAGCGUGCUGCGGGGACCUGACUUGCUAACUGCCGUCUGGCAGCUCAGAGACUCACAAAAUCAGUUUGCACUGAAGAAAGGAAUGGAAGUUCCCUUCAUCCACCUCACCACAACCUGCAGGUCCUCUCCCACACCUGCUCCCUUCCUCCUCUUUGCUGAGGAAAUUAGAGUCAUGCUCAUGUGACCACAUUGGCUGUCCUGUGCUCACAGGCUACCACUGGAGCUGCUAAAGGAGAGGCCAAGACUCUUUGGUCCUGAGUAUCUCCCUUUCUUUUGCACCAUCGAGGCCCUUCUCCAAAAUUGCACUCGAGAGCCAUUUUUGAGACGUGCAGGGACCCUCCUUCAGUUUGCAACAAGUUGUAUCCACUGCUGUCCUUUUAAUGCCUCCUUAAAACUCAGUUCAUGUGCUCCCUUGCCUGUAUGGUGGCCCACCUGGCUGCCAUGUGAAGGACAGACAUGACUGUGAAUCAAAAUCUCAGAUAUGACAGCUGGGUAUCUGUGUAUAAAGGACCUGAUUAUUCACACUGCAGAGUACAUCAUGAGAAACGCUGGGCUGGAAGAAACACAAGCUGGAAUCAAGAUUUCCAGGAGAAAUAUCAAUAAACUCAGAUAUGCAGAUGACACCACUCUUAUGGCAGAAAGUGAAGAGGCACUAAAAGCCUCUUGAUGAAAGUGAAAGUGGAGAGUGAAAAGUUGGCUUAAAGCUCAACAUUCAGAAAACGAAGAUCAUGGCAACUGGUCCCAUCACUCCAUGGGAAAUAGAUGGAGAAACAGUGGAAACAGUGUCAGACUUUACUUUUGCAGUUCCAAAAUCUCUGCAGAUGGUGAUUGCAGCCAUGAAAUUAAAGAUGCUUCCUCCUUGGAAGAAAAGUUAUGACCAACCUAGAUAGCAUAUUCAAAAGCAGAGACAUUACUUUGCCGACUAAGGUUCUUCUAGUCAAGGCUAUGGUUUUCCAGUAGUCAUGUAUGGAUGUGAGAGUUGGACAGUGAAGAAGGCUGAGCGCCGAAGAAUUGAUGCUCUUGAACUGUCGUGAUGGAGAAGACUCUUGGGAGUCCCUUGGAAUGCAAGGAGAUCCAACCAGUCCAUUCUGAAGGAGAUCAACCCUUUGAUUGCUUUGGAAGGAAUGAUGCCAAAGCUGAAACUUCAGUACUUUGGCUACCUCAUGAGAAGAGUUGACUCAUUGGAAAAUACUUUGAUGCUGGGAGGGAUUGGGGAAGAAGAAGAAGGCGACGAAUUAGGAUGAGAUGGCUGGAUGGCAUCACUGACUCGAUGGAUGCAAGUCUGAGUGAACUCUGGGAGUUGGUGAUGGACAUGGAGGCCUGGUGUGCUGUGAUUCAUGGGGUCGCAAAGAGUCAAAAAUGACUGAGCGACUGAACUGAACUGAACUGAAAGGCUGAAGUAGGCUUCAGGGGUCCAGAACUAGGGCUUAGGCCAAAGUGACUCAACAGGCGUUUGGACGCCAGGGGAGGCUUCUGGCUCUAGAGGGGAUGGGGCGCGUUUAUUGAGGUUCCGAAGGACCACUCUGUGCAGGUUCAUGGUGCAUAGAGAAAACAAGGUGGAGUCUAACCUGGAAGUGGUCGCAGCUGAUGGCUCAGCCAGCUGCCUUCUUGAGGGUAGGAUGUGGGGCAGAGGAAGGGACCCCGGUCUCCUGCCUUGUGUGGUACCCAGGGCAUGUUGACACCAGCCUAAACACUUACAUGGUGAUGACCAUCGGUGCUGUCUGCAAAGGGUUUACACUGGCAUGUGUCUUCAUCUGAGAGGUCAGGCCAUCUCGAAACUACACUGGCCAUGGGUAUGGCCUGUCCAACUUCACAUGUUUCUUCUCUUCCUUACUGAGCAUUCAUUUCCAAGAGGGCUUUUGGGCCAUAGGAUGUUGGGUUUUCUCUAGCUUUGUCCAAUGAGGAACACUUUUUGGUCUUGGUGUUGUUCAUUUUCCAGCUCUCUUUUUUGGCUUCUUCUGUGAAUUUGUUUGUGGAACAGAAAGAGCUCCGAAUCUCCCUUCUGGCUGAGAUGUCACAUUUACAACAGCAAUGCCUACCUGGAACGUUCUGACCAGAUUUGCCGAAAGGGCUUGGUUUUGCAGAUGACAUCCUGAAAGUACCUACACUGUCCUUUCAGUUACCCAAAGGCUACUUCAAAUGAAAUAAAAAAAAGAGAAUUCUCAAGUUUAAUCUUACAAUAUGUAGAGAGUCAGAAAAAUCCCAUGGAGAAUGGGAAAGUUACCCAUUCCAGUUUUCUGGCCUAGAUAACUCCAUGGACUGUAAGAACCAUUGGAAUGCAAAGAGUCUAACAAGACUAAUCGCCUAUAAACUUCCCUCUCUGUCAGAAAAAAAAAAUCUAUUUUUCUAUCAUUUCAGUGAUUGACAUUGAUUGUGGACACCCAAAGAAUGGGAAGAAGUGGAGAAAGGAGAAGACUAAAUGUUGUCAGUUGGGGGAAGGAGGAAUGGGGAAUGCUUGACAUGAAUGGGGAGUGCUUGACAUGAAUUUGCUGGGAAGUGGGGGAAUAGAAUGAGAAGGUGCGAAUGUAGACAUUGGUGAUGGUUACACAGCACUGUGAAGGCCUUAAUAUGCCCAAAUAGCAUCAAUUAAAGUAAAAUUUACUAAGACAAACUUAACAGGAAAAAAUACAUAAAGCCAAAAGAAAUAAAACAUCACGAGAACGCUACACACACCAGAUGCAAAUAAGCUCAGGGAUGGGCACUUAAGCUGCCCUGGAUGGAGUGUGAGUUGAUGGCAUCCACAGGAAGCAGGCAGGAAGGAGGCUGCAGAGCCAACCACUCCCCUGGACAAGGUGUUUCCAGAAAGGGCUCCAGGUCUCUGUCCAGAGGGGGCUCGUUCUCCCUGCAGGGUGCAUCAGUCAUUGUGGGCAUCUGGGUCUUGGGCAGGAGCCAGGGCAGGCUCUCCCUGCAGAGGUGGUAACUCAUGCCCUGUCUCGGGUUCUCCUGCCAAAGCCUGAGCAGGUACAGUUGCAGGUCGAGGUGGAUGCUCUCACUGAGGGGUGGGACAUCGGUGCCUGUGGCUGGGGGUCCUGCAGGCACAGAGGUCCGAUAUGCCCAGUGUGCUGGCCAGUACCCAGCUGGCCUGGUGUCUGGGAAGGGAAGUCUCAGGUCUCGAUGUCCCCUCAGUGGAUCCCUGGAUCCUGCACCUGUAGUACCCACAGCUGUAGGGACAGGACUUGGAAGUGGAGUCUGGUUGUAAUGAGAGGCCAGUGCUAGAGCUGUGAGAGAAGAGGUUAGCCAUCGCCAGCAUUUUUAUGUGUGUAUACGGGGACAGAAAGCUUCCCAGAUAAUCACAAAGAAUACCCAGCAUAGGAUGCACUCUGACUGCAUUGUGAAAGAUGGAUAGUGUGAGGCCAGCCUUUGUUCCAGGCCCA